GUGGGGAAUAUUGGACAAUGGGCGAAAGCCUGAUCCAGCCAUGCCGCGUGUGUGAAGAAGGUCUUCGGAUUGUAAAGCACUUUAAGUUGGGAGGAAGGGCAGUAAGUUAAUACCUUGCUGUUUUGACGUUACCGACAGAAUAAGCACCGGCUAACUUCGUGCCAGCAGCCGCGGUAAUACGAAGGGUGCAAGCGUUAAUCGGAAUUACUGGGCGUAAAGCGCGCGUAGGUGGUUUUGUAAGUUGGAGGUGAAAUCACCGGGCUCAACCUGGGAACUGCCUCCAAAACUGCAUGACUAGAGUACGGUAGAGGGUAGUGGAAUUUCCUGUGUAGCGGUGAAAUGCGUAGAUAUAGGAAGGAACACCAGUGGCGAAGGCGACUACCUGGACUGAUACUGACACUGAGGUGCGAAAGCGUGGGGAGCAAACAGGAUUAGAAACCCGUGUAGUCC
rnacentral:rRNA from 1 species